GGGAAUAUGGCUUAGUGGUUAAAGUACUUGCCUAGCAUGCAGUAAGCCCUGGGUUUGAUUCCUCAGUACCA
rnacentral:tRNA from 1 species